UACGUAGGGGGCAAGCGUUGUCCGGAUUUAUUGGGCGUAAAGAGCGUGUAGGCGGCUAGGUAGGUCCGUUGUGAAAACUCGAGGCUCAACCUCGAGACGUCGAUGGAAACCAUCUAGCUAGAGUCCGGAAGAGGAGAGUGGAAUUCCUGGUGUAGCGGUGGAAUGCGCAGAUAUCAGGAGGAACACCGAUGGCGAAGGCAGAUCUCUGGGCCGUAACUGACGCUGAGGAGCGAAAGCGUGGGGAGCGAACAGG
rnacentral:rRNA from 1 species